AUGCAGUCGAGCGGGGAGGGUAGCUUGCUACCUGACCUAGCGGCGGACGGGUGAGUAAUGCUUAGGAAUCUGCCUAUUAGUGGGGGACAACAUUCCGAAAGGAAUGCUAAUACCGCAUACGCCCUACGGGGGAAAGCAGGGGAUCUUCGGACCUUGCGCUAAUAGAUGAGCCUAAGUCAGAUUAGCUAGUUGGUGGGGUAAAGGCCUACCAAGGCGACGAUCUGUAGCGGGUCUGAGAGGAUGAUCCGCCACACUGGGACUGAGACACGGCCCAGACUCCUACGGGAGGCAGCAGUGGGGAAUAUUGGACAAUGGGCGAAAGCCUGAUCCAGCCAUGCCGCGUGUGUGAAGAAGGCCUUUUGGUUGUAAAGCACUUUAAGCGAGGAGGAGGCUACCGAGAUUAAUACUCUUGGAUAGUGGACGUUACUCGCAGAAUAAGCACCGGCUAACUCUGUGCCAGCAGCCGCGGUAAUACAGAGGGUGCGAGCGUUGAUCGGAUUUACUGGGCGUAAAGCGUGCGUAGGCGGCUUUUUAAGUCGGAUGU
rnacentral:rRNA from 1 species